CUGCAGAAGGUUUUUGAAGUUUUCAUGGGGCAGUUCCGACAACUUUUUGGUCUUCAAUCUCACAGUCAUUAUUUUGGUUCCUCUGGCACAUACAGUCUUAGCUAGUGAAAAAGGCUUCUCAGAAUGGUAAAAUAUUUUCUUGAGGCGGCAAACUUGGCUCAAAGGAAUGCCUCUCUUGGACUUUAUGAUGCUUCAGCUGUGUCCUCUAGGCAAAGCAAGAUCUCUGGCAGAAGAUGCAGAAGAUGCAAGAUCUCUAGGCAACCUAAUAUGUAGUUGCAGUAUGAUUGUUUAAUUUUUGUGCAAGAACUUGGUUUUUCAUUCUAGAACAAGAGAAUGGAGAAACCCAAUCUAGACGAAUUGUACCACGUAUUUACCAGUCGCGCAGUAAAAUUCAUCGACUACGGCAUGAUGGGUGAUGGUUCCAAGUCUGAAAGCUGGAAAGAAUUCAAGACAAGUUGUUUAGGGAAUUUCGCGAAGAAUUUGGUGAGGAAGAGCCUGGGCGAAGGUGUAAUGUUCCCUCCAAAUCAACUACUUCCUCUUUUUAUUGUAGGUUAAAGCUUAGUCAUUGCUUUUCUUCUUCUUUUUUAUUGCAAUAUUACUGUGAAUUUUUUGAUUACAAUAUUAUAAUACAACAA